UUCGGCGCCACGUCGGACUCACAUCGGGGCGACGAUAUUCGAAUUAGUAUCACAGACCAGUUAUGAAAUAGUAGAAAUUAAUUAUUUAAACUGUCAGUUGAAUUAGAUUGAUUUAAAUGGGUAUGCUUCCAGAUGUGAUAAUUAUAUGUGCUUGUAUGAAAUAUGUAGACAUAUUUCGCUUUGAUUGCAUACUUAGUAAUGUCUGCUACGCUUUUGUAACCGUUUGGAUUGUUUUUAUUUUAUUAUGUUUUAUUGUAAAUAUUUGGUAUAGUUUGUUACAUAGUCUUUGUUGUAUUAAUUAUUUGCUAACAUGAUUAUAAAUCUUUUUGCAGUAUUUGUAACAUAUGGUAUGUAACAUAUGUAUUGGAAUAUUUUUAUUUUAAUUUGUUUUACUAUAGUUAAUUAUUUGGUAAUAUGGUUAUAAAGCUUAUUGCAGCAUUAUUAAAUACAUUUAAUUUUAGGAAAAGUUUAAUUUAAUUAUAACGAGCGAAAGUUUGCUGAAAAAAAUUUAUUUUCAAAAAUAAUAUUUUUUUUUAACAAUAUAAUAAUUAAUUAAAUAAUUUUACUACAACAAAAAAGAUUAGAGUAAUUUAUAUUUAUAUUUAAUUAUACCACAUUUUGCUUUUAUAGGAUUAGUGGCACGAGGGAUAAAAACUUAAUUUUAACUUUUAACCAACAUUUAUUCAUCUUAUUCUAUCUUAUACAUCCAAACACUAUUUUUCUUAUACCUGAUACAAAUCUAAUACUCAACCAAGCACAAAAUGCAAUAGUUCCAGCUAGUUCCAAUAUUUGCAUCUAUCUCUGAAAUAAGUAGUUCUAGAUUAUACCCGAACCAAACGAUACCUUAGAGUAUAAUAAUGACAAUGUCGU
rnacentral:lncRNA from 1 species